AUGAAAAAAAUAAACAUUUCCAUUGUUGGCAGCAUCAGUAAUGAAGGCAUCAGUAACUACGGUGCUGAAGAUUUAUCCAAUCCUGAUUCAAGCGUGGUAUCUUCAGAGGUGACAGGACAAAGCAGUAUCUUGCAAGAACAUGGAGAACAAACUAGCUCCAACUCCUUAAAGCAGGCUGCAGAAGCAAGAGAGAGCAGUGUGCCUAGCCCAAUGCCUUUAGCAGACUGUGCCAAAGAAUCUGUAGCAGGUCUUACAAGCAGCAUUGAGAAGUUACCAACCUCAGAUUGUAAUGAAACAGUGCCGUCACCAGAUCCAGUGAAUGACAAAGCAGAGGGAGUAGCACAUACCAUAUCAAUGGACAGGAGCCCAAAAUGUGACAAUAUUGCUGCUGCUUCUAUGAAAAAUAGUGAGAGAGAUCCCAGAAACACCAGCUUGGAACCCAGCCCUCCUGCAGCUAUUACAGAAAUGCAAGGAGUUGCACAAAUGCGUUUGAGUGAAUUAGAACCGUUCUGGCAGCCUGAACAGCAGGGCGGCAUGAGGGAGCCACAUGUCAUCAUGUUUCCCCAGAGUAAAGCAGCAGAUUAUUUUACCGCUCAGGAGGCCAAGCAGGAGCUAGGAGUUUUGGAAGUAGGUCAGCCACAGAGUGUAAUGCAGCUAGGUAGACAGAACACAGAUGGCAGAGAGGGUCUGCUAAUGAAAAAGGAAACCUUAAUCCUAAAUUAUCCAGCAACAGGAGGCACAGACAGUGAAAAAUAUGGAGCAAUUGUGAAUGCCCAGAGUUUCAUUGAGAGGUCUGAGAUCAAUGAAGGCUGUAAUCUACAGAUGGGGGCUGUAACAAUAGCUAAAGAGAAUAAGGCAAACCCAGUUCUAUCUGGAAGCAAUGGGGAGCAAUCAGAAGUUUGUACUUUAAUGUCAGAGUUGCCUUUUAACCCUCCAAAUCUCUUCCUGGCACCAAAGCCAGAAGAACCUUCAAGGGAAUACAUGCCUGGAAAUGACUAUCAAGAUCCAAUGAUAAGUGAAAGAGUGAAAACAGCCUCUGAAAAAAUAGAACCCACUUUUCAAAGAGAGCUUCAAAAGGAAGAUGAGCUUGUUAGUGCCAAGCAUUUCAGUGUGCCUUUAUUAUUUAAGCGAGAGGAAGAGCAAAAAUCAGCUGUUACAACUGAGAGCCCAAAAGAUCAAGCCAGUAGCAACAAAAUCAUAAAAGCUGAUGGUGCGUCUAGAGACAGCACUGCACUUUCUGAAACAGAAAACAUUAUCAAUCCAAUGAAGGAAAAUGCCCUGUUAGAUAAAAGAUUAGUGAAAAAAUAUGCAUUAAGUACUUCUUUGAGCAGAUCCACAGAGCUGAAUCAAAAGAAAAGUGAUACAAGUGUAACAGGAGAAAAAAACAAAAUCGUGAUAGAGGAGGCACAAGUGACAGAAACCAGUGAAGUAUCUGAAGGGUCAGCCGAGGCAGAAAGAAUAGUGUUGAACUCUAGUUGUAGCCACAACCAGGAGGUAAAAGAUACCCACUGGGGACACAGUUCCAAAGAAUUCAGUUUUUUUGAAAAGACUUCAAAAGGUGACCUAAAGGAAGAAGCUGUGGGUAAGCAUCUGAAUUCAGACUGUAACUUUAAAUCACCUGAAGACAAUUCACACUCUCUUUGUUGUAAACCUGAAGGACAAAUGAGUAAAGAGAAAGCAGCUGCCACAGAUGACCUACAGAAUAAGAGCAGCUUUCCGCUUGUGGCUUCACUGCAGUCAUCAAGGAAAGAAUGUCCAUUGAGUUUUGAUUGCUUUAACACUGAAGCAGAAGACAAAACUUCAGGCUUGCCAGGCUCUAACGGGACUGAAAAGGGUUGUUUAGCUAGUGCACACAGUUCACUGCUCCUCCGUUCCGAGAACAAUUAUACUACAUGGAGUAAGGAGGAUGAAUCCUGGGAACAGGCUUUUGCUAAAGAAACUACAUUAGUGUCCAAAUGCAAAACUGAAUGUCAAGAAAAGCCUGAGAUCUAUAGCAAGUCAGAAGAAAGUGCAGAAAUAUCCAAAACAAAACUUGAACUUCAGGGCUUAAAUGAAUUGGCAGGGACUAUGGAAUGCAUUGCCAUACAAACUGAGAAGGCCGCACAGUUUUGGGACAACAAAGAACAGAACAGUUACUUAACUGAAGUGCCUCACAGAGAUGCAGCGCAAGUACCUGCAACUGUAACUGAACAAAGCAGUGAUAUGGAUGGUAAAGAAAAGGCUAUUGAACAGGAGAAGCACCAAAAUGCAGUGAAAAGUGUUAUGGAGGACAAAGUUUUGGCACUGAAAGCUGAAUGCAGAUCAGAUGUGCUGAUGCAAGCUCAGCAGGAACAAAUGGCUGCAGGAAGUCACAGAAAUAUGCAGAUGGCUUGUUCAGAAACCUCAAAAAUUGUAGUAAAUACUACAGAGUUCACUCCUCAGCAAGUUCAAGUGGAAGAAGUGGGUGAUAACAGCAUCAGUGAAAAUAACUACCCCUCUGAGAAAAACAAGUGCAGAUUUGAGACCCUAGUAUGUAGUAUCAGGGGAUUGCAAGAAAAUGCAGAUGUUCCAACUGCCCUUCCACAGGCAGAGCAAAUGGAGAACUCAAUGUUUGUCGCUGAUGAAAGCAAUUGGAUUUCAAAUACAGGACUCAAACAACAGAAACCUCAAAGCAAUCUGGCAACUGUCACAAGAACAGACUAUCAGGAACACAAAGCAAAGGCUCCAAAACCUGAGCAGUUACUGGAAUUAAAUGAUCACAGCAACAUACCAGAAAUGUCUCUAAAUAUUUCAAACAACCUUAAUAAAGAAUCUCCUGUGGUAGAUCCAGCACCAUUCCGAUGUGAUUCCGACACCUCAAAAGAAAAGGACAAGGAUAAAAGUACUGAUAUGGUGUCAGAGGAUAUGUGCAGCAAUGAACACCUGCAAAAUAUUUCUGGUGUGGCCAUGCCAAAUUUGCAAGAUUGCAACCAUCAAAACAAAAAUGAUCUCAAGGCAGAAGAAAACUGUCUCAGUAAGCAAAACUCAAACAAGCCCAAGCAGGAUAAUAAUACUUUGAUCUCAGCUACUCAGCGUGAAGAAGCUUGUCAUAGUGAUACGUUUUUUAAAGAAUCCAACAAGAAUGAACAGCUAGUCAGCACAUGCAGGAUUAAAGACAAUACUGGCAAAAGCAGUGCUACUGCUAUAAACUCUCUUCCAGGGUCACAGAAUUCAGUAAGUGCCACUAACAUAUCACAGGCUUUUCCAACUGAUAGUGAAGUAGCAUGUACUUAUGAUAAUUCUGAGAAAAAUGAUCCUCGAGCACCUAGUCCAGAAACUCAAGAGAAAAUGCCAUUAAUGGCAAAAAACUCAGACAGAGAAAAGAUAGAGGCUCUGACUGCCGAUAGGCGAAUCAUCCAGAAAGAUGAAAACAUGAAGAUGAGUUGUGAGAACAGUGCUUCUGUCACAGAAACAAGCAAUGUGAAAACUUGUACAAGUCCAGGGGCAAAAGGCUGUCCUUCACCUUUACAGGCACACAGGGAAGUAAUUCCCACUGAUAACUCCAGUUGCAUUCAAAAGACACCAGGGGAGCCUGGUUAUUGUCAAGGAGAUUUUACAGCCCUUUCUACACUGACCUCUGCAUUCAAUCAUCCUAGCCAGCAACCUGGCAACAAUAAGAGCAAUGGUACUGUGGGGGAAUUACUAAAUAAUGAGUUGGCAGGUAGAGCAUACCAAACUGCCUUAGAAGGUAAUUCUACUUUGCAGAUUGCUACAGGUCUUCAGGUGUCUGUGCGCAUAGGUCCUUCACCUGGGUUAAGCACAGGUAAAAUAACAAAUUCAGAAAACAGCUCUGCAGGGAAUAUGCAUGUGAACAAGAAAGAUCUUCCAGACCAAAGUUUUUGGGGUGAAGGAGAGAGAAGUUUAACCCUGCCAGAGACUUCAAGUGUGGGACAGAUUACAGGAAGCUUAUCACAGUUUAAUUUUGAGAAGCUGAAGGAAGAGGUAGCUGCAAUUAAAUCCAGAGAAACAAAAAGUGAUGUAAACUUCAAAGAACAGCAAAGUGACAGUUCAUCAGAGUCUCUGUUAGCACUCCCAACUCUAAAAGAGGAGCUGCUGAGCCUUUCAUCUAUUGGUAAACAAGAAGGCUGUAAUGAGGAAAUUGCAACCAAUAUCUGCAUAGAUGACAAGCGCAGUAAGAUCUUAGAGAAACCUGGGAAUACAGAUAAAAUGGAAGAUGCUUUAAAGGAAAAUAGUAUUUCUCAACAGUCUGCAGAGAACCCUGGAAGAGAGCAUGAGAUUUUGACUUGCAGCUCUCUGGGCGUUGGCUCCAGUCUCCCGGACUUCAGGGAGCAUAUCAGCCAGAUAUUUAAAAAAACUGUCCACAGUGCACUGAGUACUGAAUUGCCCCAGCUUCUACCUGAAAAUCAUGCAGGCUUCAAGCAGAGUCCGGUGGUCAAGGAUAUGGCAGAACUGUGCAGUACAGAGAACUUUUCAGAAUCAAACAGGGUGGGCAAAGCAAUUUCUGAGAGCACCUCAGAAGCAGAGAGGCAAGAGUUGUCUUUAGCUACGGAGACUUCCUGCAAAAUUCCCAAAGGCAAAUUUCUACAAGAAAACACAGUGACAGAGCUGCCACCAGCAAGUCUCCAGGACAGUGAGAAAAAUAGGCAGCCAGGUAGCUGUUUAGAAAUGGUCCCCAGACUGGAUGACUGUACACCUGCUGAAUGCUCUCUGGAAGACCUGCAAAAUCCAGACAAAAACACUGAGCAUCUAGAGACCAGUGAGAUGGAAAAAAAGGAAGGCAUGUGUGCUAGUAACGCUGAUCCUGAAUCACUAAUAAGCUUAGAGAUAAAAAAGCAAGGAUCUGCUUCAUUGGAUGGGGCAGCACCUGAGAACUUCACUGCAUAUUCUGCCAGUAAGCAACAACCCGCUGUAACUAGUAUCUCUACAGGUGGUGUUCAGAAAAGGGACUUAGACGCUGCUACCACGCAGGAAAAUAAUUUAAUUACACACUGUAAUGCAGAAACGGUUUCAUCCAAAGAUGAUGUGAGUCUUCAUAGCAGACAGUGCCAGGAUUCUGAGCCAAAUGAACAGGAGAAAAAUGGGCACAGUAAUCCAGUCACUGCCAACAGCGUCUCUGACAUGGCAUCUUCAGCGCUAUUACCAGGAGGAUUUUACAAUCAUGAAAAAUCGCCAGACAAUUUUAAUGUGUUACCUGGGGAAGAUCAGGAGACAUAUAUUCACAGCAAUUUUAUGCAUGAGAUUAAGUCUCAGAAUGACAGGCAUAUGAUACAGAAUGAUCCAGUAAAUAGGAAAUCCCUGGAAACAUCAGAAAAUAUGCAAGAUUCACAGCAAGAAAACAAAGUUACCAUGUAUGGGUUAAUAAAUUACUUAAAAAAUGAAGUAAGCCAGGAUGAUUCCUUUCAAACUGACUCUAAACUAGAAUCUAGCAGUGUGACUGAGGGAGAUGUGAAAGAAAAGAGCAACACAGUGUUAAGCACAGCAAAGGCAGGUAACAAAAAACCUGGAGACAUCCCUAAAACAGGUACUGCAAGGAUGUUAGUCACUGGCGAAGGUGACUUGGCUUUAAACACAAGCACUGAAGAACAAGAGAUGGACCUAUACAAAAAUUACUCUCAAACCAUUCCUGUGAUGGAGCAGGGUGAGUGUUCUGCAUCUACAGAUUUGACUGUUGUUUCUGAAAAUCAGCAGAUCAAGACGAAUUCAGAACAUGAACGCUCACUUCAGGAUGCCAAAAAAAAGCUAUCGGCGUUUGCAUUUAUUGAGUCUAAGGAACUUGACCUCAAUGAACUUCAAGACUCGGCUGUGGCAGGAUUACCAACUGAAAGGUAUUUACUUUAA
ensembl:lncRNA